rnacentral:tRNA from 1 species
UCCUGGUUAGUACAAUGGUCAGUAUAGGACACUCUCACCGGCAGCCUCGCGGCGGCGGUACUGUUCAGAUCGGGGUUCGAUUCCCCGGCCGGGAA